rnacentral:rRNA from 1 species
GACGAACGCUGGCGGCGUGCUCAACACAUGCGAGUCGAACGGUGAAGCGCCUUCCUUUUUGGUGGGUGUGGAUGAGUGGCGAACGGGUGAGUAACACGUGAGUAACCUGCCCCCUUCUUCUGGAUAACCGCAUGAAAGUGUGGCUAAUACGGGAUAUUCUGGGUCUGUCGCAUGAUGGGUCUGGGAAAGAUAUUGUUUCGGUGGGGGAUGGGCUCGCGGCCUAUCAGCUUGUUGGUGGGGUGAUGGCCUACCAAGGCGGUGACGGGUAGCCGGCCUGAGAGGGUGGACGGUCACACUGGGACUGAGACACGGCCCAGACUCCUACGGGAGGCAGCAGUGGGGAAUAUUGCACAAUGGGCGCAAGCCUGAUGCAGCGACGCCGCGUGAGGGAUGGAGGCCUGCGGGUUGUGAACCUCUUUCGCCAGUGAAGCAGGCCUGCCUCGUUUGUGGGUGGGUUGACGGUAGCUGGAUAAGAAGCGCCGGCUAACUACGUG